CACGUAGGGGGCGAGCGUUGUCCGGAUUUAUUGGGCGUAAAGAGCUCGUAGGCGGUUCGGCAAGUCGGGUGUGAAAUUUCGAGGCUCAACCUCGAAACGCCACUCGAUACUGCUGUGACUGGAGUCCGGUAGAGGAGUGCGGAAUUCCUGGUGUAGCGGUGAAAUGCGCAGAUAUCAGGAGGAACACCAACGGCGAAGGCAGCACUCUGGGCCGGUACUGACGCUGAGGAGCGAAAGCGUGGGGAGCGAACAGG
rnacentral:rRNA from 1 species